UACUAAACCUCUCCACACAUAUUGAAUAAAUCUUUCGCCUUUUACUAAAGAUUUCUGUGUAUGGGGAGGGUCAUCAUUGAGAUUACUUUAUUUCUCUGCUGGUAGUUACAAACACUGCUU